GGCGUGCUUAACGGCGGAUCGCGGGUGGAGCGGAAAGGCCUACGCUUGCUAGGUGCUGGGGUGGCGGCACGGGUGUGUACACGAACGCUGGGUGAUCUGCUUCCGUACUCUUGGGAAUAAGCCUGCGGAAACUGGGUCUAAUACCUGGAUAAGGUCCUAUUCUUUACGUGGUGUGUGGUGCGUUACAGUUUUUUCGCGCUAUCGAGGAAUGGGCCCAGCGGCCCUAUCAGCCUUGUUGGUGGGGUAAUGGCCUUACCAAGGCGUCGACGGGUAGCCGGCCUGAGAGGGUGUCCGGCCACCUUGGGACUGAGAUACGGCCCAGACUCCUACGGGAGGCAGCAGUGGGGAAUAUUGCACAAUGGGCGCAAGCCUGAUGCAGCGACGCCGCGUGAGGNGAUGACGGCCUUCGGGUUGUAAACCUCUUUCAGCUAGGGACGAAGCCUUGCCUUUUUGACUGGUGUGACUGUACUUGCAUAAGAAGCACGCGGCUAACUACUUGCCAGCAGCCGCGGUAAUACGUAGGGUGCGAGCUGUUGUCCGGAUUUAUUGGUCGUAAAGAGCUCGUAGGUGGUUUGUCGCUUCUGUCUGUGAAAUUCUCGGGGCUUAACUUCUGGGUCGUGCAGUCUAUACUCGCAGGCAUAACUUGAGUUCUGUAUGGGAGACUGGAAUUUUCCUAGUUUUAGCGGUGAGAAUGCGCAGAUUUCAGGAUGAACCACGGGUUGCGAAGGGCGGGUCUCUGGGCCGAUAACUGACGCUGAGGAGCGAAAGCUUGGGGAGCGAACAGGAUUAGAUACCCUGGUAGUCCAUGCUGUUAACGGUGGGCGCUAGGUGUGUGGCCGCAUCUUCCACGACUUGUCUGUUGCCGUAGCUCACGCAUUUAAUUCGCCCCGCCUGGGGAGUUCGGGCGCCAGGCUUAAACUCAAAAGGAAUUUACCGGGGGCCCGCACCAGCCGGCGGAGCAUGUGGCUUUAUUCCGAUGCACCGCGAAGAACCUUACCUGGGCUUGACAUAUGCCCGGA
rnacentral:rRNA from 1 species